rnacentral:rRNA from 1 species
UGUAUWUAGUGGUCAGAGGGGGAAAUUWUAGGAUUUAKUAAGGRCGGKGGCAAUGGGAAGGCAUUUGCCAAGGAUGUUUUCAUUAAUCAAGAACGAAAGUAGGGGGAUCGAAGACGAUCAGAUACCGUSGUAGUCUCUACCGUAAACUAUGCCGACCAGGGAUCCGGAGAGUUUGCAUGGAUGACUCCCCGGGCACCUUGUGAGAAAUCAUAAGUGUUGGGUUUUGGGGGGAGUAUGGUCGCAAGGCUGAAACUUAAAGGAAUKACGGAAAGGCCCCAAGGAUAMC